rnacentral:lncRNA from 1 species
AUGAGCCCUAAAUGUGCCCUAAAUAUGCCCCAAAUGUGCCCCAAAUGUGCCUCAAAUGUGCCUCAAGUGUGCCCUAAAUGUGCCCUAAAUGUGCUCCAAACCCACCCAGAUCCUGCCCAAAAUGUGCCCCAAAUGAGCCCUAAAUGUGUCCUAAAACUGCCUGCAUCCUGCCCCAAAUGUGCCCUAAAACUGCCCCAAACCUGCCCUAAAUGUGCCCCAAAUGUGCCCUAAAUGAGCCCUAAAUGUGCCCUAAACCUGCCUGGAUCCUGCCCCAAAUGUGCCCCGAAUGUGCCCUAAAUGCGCCCCAAAUGUGCCCUAAAUGUGCCCUAAAUGCGCCCCAAAUGUGCCCUAAAUGAGCCCGAAAUGUGCCCCAAAUGUGCCCUAAAUGAGCCCUAAAUGUGUCCCAAAUGUGCCCCAAAUGAGCCCCAAAUGUGCCCUAAAUGUGCCCCAAACGUGCCCUAAAUGUGCCCCAAAUGUGCCCCAAAUGUGCCCUAAAUGAGCCCCAAAUGUGCCCUAAAUGAGCCCUAAAUGUGCCCCAAAUGUGCCCUAAAUGNCUAAAUGUGCCCCAAAUGUGCCCUAAAUGAGCCCUAAAUGUGCCCUAAAUGUGCCCUAAAUGUGCCCCAAAUGUGCCCUAAAUGUGCCCUAAAUGUGCCUCAAAUGUGCCCUAAAACUGCCCUAAAUGAGCCCUAAAUGAGCCCUAAAUGAGCCCUAAAUGUGCCCUAAAUGUGCCCCAAAUGAGCCCUAAAUGUGUCCCAAAUGUGCCCUAAAACUGCCCCAAAUGUGCCCUAAAUGUGCCCCAAAUGUGCCCUAAAUGUGCCCUAAAUGUGCCCUAAAACUGCCCUAAAUGAGCCCAAAUGUGCCCUAAAUGUGCCCUAAAUGUGCCUUAAAUGUGCCCCAAAUGUGCCCUAAAUGUGCCCUAAAUGUGCCCAAAUGUGCCCUAAAUGUGCCCCAAAUGUGCCCUAAAUGUGCCUCAAAUGUGCCCUAAAUGUGCCUCAAAUGUGCCCUAAAUGUGCCUCAAAUGUGCCCUAAAUGUGCCUCAAAUGUGCCCUAAAUGUGCCCCAAAUAUGCCCUAAAUGUGCCCUAAAACUGCCCCAAAUGUGCCCUAAAUGUGCCUCAAAUGUGCCCCAAAUGUGCCCUAAAUAUGCCCCAAAUGUGCCCUAAAUGUGCCCCAAAUCCACCCAGA